GACCGUUUUCUGGAGUCGGUGAGAUUGCUUGCGGUUGGUGUCUUAUCCAGCUGUCCCUCGCGAUCAGGAUCUGGUUGUGACGAGAUGUUUCUGCAGUCCCAUAUCAGGUAAGUUUGGUGGGGUGUGCAGCAGAGGAAUACUUUUAUCAUAAAUAUUAUCUGGGUUUUUGUUGCUGAACCGGUGAAAAGGAAGUAAUCUGUUAUUCUGCACUCAGGCUGUAUCGCCAUGGAUGAGUUCAGUGGUUCUAAGAUGUAUAACUUGUUGUGACACUCUUUAUUCUGGGGAUUCUAGAUUUUGGAGAUUUACAUAUUCUCUGUUUAGUCUGUGUCUUUGAAGAGGUGAUUGGAACCUCUGAUCAUUCCUCCUUUUCUUCGCUGUUUGCCCCUGUGUCAUAUUUUGUCUUUUGUGGUUGCCCAUGUUUGUUAGUAAUCUACGAACGUUGCGGAUUGAAGCCCGGGUCUCAGGGAGCGGUAUUAAUGUGCGUUCAUUAAGCUCUGUGGUUGGCCACCCCCCUCCCAAAGACCCCCUUUUGAUCAUUACUGACCACAAAAAUUUGGCAUAUAUUGGUGAUGCUAAACGGCUGUCUUCUAGACAGGCUAGAUGGUCUUUGUUCUUAUCUUGCUUUAACUUUAUUAUAACUUACAGACCUGGUCCCAAAAACGUUAAAGCUGACGCCUUAUCUGACAUUGAAUCAGUACAAGAACAAGAGACACCCCCUAUUGUCCCAUUCAUUGUUUCUACUGUUCUUUCCUUAUCAUCCCCUCUGCUUGGUGCUAUCAUAGAGGCUCUGUCCCAGGCACCUUGCAAUAAACCUCUAGAUAAAUUGUUUGUUCCAUUGAUGAAAUAGAGAAGGUAAUGAGGAGGGUGUUCCACAACAACGUGACUGCUGGGCAUCCAGGCAUUAAUAAAUUCAUAUCGGCUAUCUUGAGAUCAUUUUGGUGGGAUUAAUUCAGUAAAGAUGUCAAGGGAUAUGUGCAGGCCUGUUCAGUAUGUGCAGUUUCUAAGGUUCCUCAUAAACUUCCAUGUGGAUUAUUACAUCAACUUCCUGUACCUAGUGUUCCAUUGUCCCAUAUGUCCAUGGAUUUCAUCGUGGGACUCCCUAGUUCUAAUGGCUAUACCACCACUGACUGCUUUUCCAAGAUGGCUCAUUCUGUUCGGCUCAAACAAUUGCCAUCUUCACAAGACCUGGUUCUUAUUUUUAUACAAGAAAUUGUCAGACUACAUGGCACUCCUCAAAAUAUUGUGUCUGACAGAGAUUCUCAGUUUGUGUCUUGGUUUUGGAGGGCUUUCAAUGACAACAUUGAAUUGUCAUUUUCUUCUUCUUACCUUGCCCAAACCAAUGGCACGGCUGAGAGGGCUAACCAAUCAUUGGAAUUGUAUUUGCGUUGUUUUGUUAAUGGCACACAAGAUAACUGGUCCGAACUACUGCACUGGGCCGUGUUUGCCACGAACAAUGCUACCCAUGACUCUUCUUGACAUAGUCCAUUCUUUGUUAAUAACGGUCGUCAUCCUACUGUUCUACUGGCUGUUUUCUCUGACACAGCUAUCCCUGCUCUGGAUGAUCACCUCACUUCUAUUUAUGAAAACUUGGACCAAAGUUCACUCUGCUCUUGAAACUGCGGCUGCUCGUUUCAAAUUUCAUGCUGAUAAGCGGCGGGGUGCCAACCAUGUUUAUCAAGUGGGUGAGAGGGUGUGGUUAUCAUUGUGCAACGUCAAACUAAAAGUUCCUAGCAUGAAGUUUGCCCCCUAGAUUCCUUGGUCCAUUUCAUAUCAUUCAGAGAAUUAAUCCUGUUUCCUAUUCUCUGGCACUUCCUGCCUCCUUACGUAUUCCUAAUACAUGUCAUAUUUCCUUGCUCAAACCACUUAUUUGCAAUAGGUAUACUGUCCCAAGUGUUCCCCCUCCUCCAUUGGUUGUUUCUGGAGAGGAGGAGUAUGAUUCCAGGUUUUCUCGUGGUUCCCUACAGUAUUUGGUUGAUUGGAGAGGUUAUUGGCCUGGCAAACGUUCUUGGGUUCCGGCUUCCGAUAUUCAUGCUGGUCGCAAGAUUUGCUAUUUCCAUGCCAAGUUUCCUCUCAAACCUGGUCUGGCCCGCCCUGUGGGCGGUCUUCAGGUAGGGGAUAAUGUCACAUGUUCAUCCUCACCUCGUGGUGUCUGUGAUGGUAACUGCCUUCCUGGCACUAACGGAAGUGCCACUCAGUAACCCUGCGCCGGUGUAUCUGACUUCGGUGGCACGUUGAUGGAUGACGGCCGCUUUGGAUCCAAGCCAUUUUAUAGCCCAUGGUAUUGACGACAUCAUAGUGCAUGUGACGUCAUGCAAAGAAUGAGCAUGCACAUUUUCGGGUCAAAGGCCGUUUACAGCCAAUCGGAUCUGAAGGAGGCUUAUUUAAACUCAUUUUUUCUUUUCCUCAUUGCCCUGUGGUGGUUUCCCCUAGAUGGUUAUUUGAGAGUGCAUUCCUCAUCGUGUGUUUCUGGUUAUUGACUUUGGCAUCGUUUUGACUUCCCUGACUUCUGGUAUCCUUGAUUAUUGGCUUUCCCUUAUCGCUGUAUCCCAUUCUGUGUCCCUGACCUCAGCUAGUAUAUUGACUAUUCUUUGGUGCGUUAAGUCUGGCCUUUCUAAGGUCCAGUUAGACGUUACUCUUAGUCCUAGGUGUGACACAUUUCUGCGUGCUGUAUCAACUAGAAUCCUGACAAUACAUAUAUGACAACGCGAAGGACUCCAGGAUAACACCUGCCUUUCUCUCCAAUCAAGUGUAAGGUUUUUUUUCUGCCACCAAGGAAAACCAGGUACCAGAGAGCAGGAUGGAGAAGAAAUAAGUUGGAAUGUUAUCUUUUCUUUAUGCAGUAUGCUUACCAUAGUUUGGUGACAAACAGUACCCCAAGAAAGGGUUACAAAUAGAAGAAACCUGUGUGGAGUUUUUUUCUACUUCAGAAAGUUUAGUAGUGCCUAACUACAUUGAUUCAGGUAAAUCAGGUAAUUCAGUAAUAGAAGGAAGAGGAACAAGUCUUACCAGAGCCCUUCUUUGGCUAUCUAGGUUAAGGUGUUUUUGCCUAACCCUUAUAUCAAUGUCUGCAGUGGUGUCUCCAGCAUUCAUAUUUAGGGGGACCAGUGACAAAAGUAGGGGAGCCAUUAUAAAAUGUGUGUGUGUGUGUGUGUGUAUAUAUAUAUAUAUAUAUAUAUAUAUUUGUGUACGGGAUUAUGAAAGGGGCGUAUACUUAAAGUGAGUGUAGUUUUGAUAAGCAAGAGUCAGUUGAGGUGUGCCGAAACCGACGAGAGGUUAGGCCUGUAAAAAAAGAGGGCCAAAAAGUAUGUAAACAUGUUUAUUUAUUACCACAAUAACAACAUUAUUUAGACAUAUUAUAGAAGGUGAGUCUGAUUUAUUUCUCUGGGUUUGGAAUGUACCGGUUGAAUGCAGAAGAUUUCCAGCGACUCAUUUUCUUUAUGAUAUGUGUUUGAACCUGACUACUUGAGACAGCAGUGGCGGCCCAAAUACAGAAUGAGUGUCCUGAGAAGGAAUUCGGAUUGAGGCAGAGUCUGAGUAAUAAAGAACGUAUAUAUAUAUAGCAUGAAUUGUUUAGUAGUAAGUGGCUUUCCUUGUAGGGAUAACAGAGGCAGUUCGGGAUUUCUAAUAUGCUGAUUUUUUAACAAGUUAUCUAGUACUUGAACUGGGCACCAUUUGGAACUGGUAGGGAAAUACUAAAUUUCUACUGGGAGGCCUGCUUGGUUUGUUUUUGUGCGGAUGAUCGAUAGAACGUAAUGAUCAUUUACUUUGGUUCUUAGAAACCCAAAAAAGGCCAAAUAAGCUGCUGAUUUAAUUACCAGGUUAGUGGUACGUUCAAAAGGACUUUUGUCUAAUAACUUGGAGAUAUCUUUAAAGAUGUUGCUGUCUACCUUUUAGUAUGGUUUUUAUGGGGUAUGUGGAUAAGAAAGGAGUCUUGUUUGGAUAAAGAGUUAGCAUGAAAUGUUGUAUCCUCAACAAGUAUAGUUUGAUGGUAUUGUCAGGGGCGUAUUAGCCGCGAGGCAAACAAGGCAUUUGCCUUGGGCGGCAUUUUUCAGGGGGCGGCAAAAAACGCCGCCCCCCAAAUGCCCAGGGCAAAUGCCUUGUUAGCCUUGCGGCUAACAGACAUCCCGAGCGGGCGGGCGGGUGGCGCUGGCAGGCGGGCGGCUGGCGAGGGAGCACUUCCUCUGAGCUGUCAGCUCAGCUCCCUCGCGCACCGCAAAGUGAGACUGGGAGCCGGAAGAUGAUGUCAUAUUCCGGCUCCCAGCCUCACUCUGCAGCCGGCGUGCGAGGGAGCUGAGCAGACAGCUCAGAGGAAGUGCUCCCUCGCCAGCCGCCCGCCUGCCAGCGCCGCCCGCCCUGCAGCCACUGGACCACCAGGGAGAGAGACCCCCCCCCCCCAGCACUCCCAAAGGUAAGGAGGUUGGGGAGGGAUUUAAAUUAAAAAAAAAGUUAAUGUGUGUUUGUGUCUGACUGUGUGUGUGACUGUGUGUGUGUUUGUCUGACUGUGUAUGUGUCUGACUCUGUGUGUGUCUGACUGUGUUUGUGUAUGUGUGUGUGUGUUUGUGUCUGACUGUGUUUGUGAGUGUGUCUGUGUAUGUGUCUGUGUAUGUGUCUGACUGUGUGUGUGUUUGUGUCUGACUCUGUGUGUAUCUGACUGUGUUUGUGAGUGUGUGUGUGUUUGUGUCUGACUGUGUGUCUGACUGUGUGUGUGUUUGUCUGACUGUGUUUGUGUCUGUGUAUGUGUCUGACUGUGUGUGUGUUUGUGUCUGACUCUGUGUGUGUCUGACUGUGUUUGUGAGUGUGUGUGUGUUUGUAUCUGACUGUGUUUGUGAGUGUGUGUGUUUGUGUCUGACUCUGUGUGUGUGUUUGUCUGUUUGUGUAUGUGUGUGUGUGUUUGUGUCUGACUGUGUUUGUGUAUGUGUUUGUGUGUGUGUGUGUGUGUGUCUGACUGUGUGUUUGUGUCUGACUGUGUGUGUGUAUUUAGAAGGUGGGGCGGGGGGAAGGGUUGGGUGGGGGUGGUGCAGGGGCAGGAGGGCGCCUGAGUUUUGUCCUGCCUAGGGCAGCACAAAACCAGGAUACACCACUGGGUAUUGUAUAGUUAAAAGUUGUAAACGCAACCAUGGUUUCUACAGAAAAAUUAUUUAUUAUGUUAAAGUCACGAACAAAUUUUUUGUACAUGUCAAAUGCCCUAUCGUAUGCUUUUUUGGUGUUUACUGACAACCCUGCCUGUGCGAGAAUUCUACUGGGAGCUAAUAACUGGUUUAAUGCAUGAUUAGGUCUUUGAAUUGAGGAGGAGUUUUGGGUUGCUUGUUCGCUGUAGGGUGCAGUCUGAAAAAUUCCUGUAAAUUAAAACGUGACAAAGUGUCAGCUGCGUUAUUGAAAAUGCCUGGAACAUGAAUACAAUAAAUGUAAAACUGCAAGUUUGCUGCCAACCAUGUAAGUUUCCUAACUAGAUUCAUAAUUGACAGGGACUGAGAGUGGCCCUUGUUAAUUAUGUUACAAGCUGCCAUGUUGUCAGAAAAACACCUAACUGCUUUACCCCUCCAAUUUUUUCCCCAAAUGUGUGCUGCUGCCACUAUUGGGAAGAUCUUGAAUAUUGCUGAGGUUUUGUCAAAACUUUCUAGGGUAGCUGUUUCGGGUGGCAAAGCUGUCAUAGACCCACUCGUCCCCGAAUAUCGCAGCAUACCCGGUGGUAGCUGCAGCAUCUGUCCAGAUAACCGGGGAUUCGUCAGAUAUGGGGGAAUGAAGAGUGAUCUACCAUUCCAUGAAGAUAAAAAUAGACUCCACAUUAUUAGUUCAGCCCUUGCUGGAUCAUCUAGAUUAAUCAUAGUGUCGUCGUCAGGGAGGCUGUGUAGAAGAGAAAGUAACCUAGAGAUGAAAGCUUUGCCUUGAGGAAUAAUUCCCAUGGCGAAGUUAAGAGAACCCAGAAGUGACUGUAAUUCUUUCCUGGUGCAGGACCCGUGAUUGGUGCAGGUGUGGAUGUGAGUUAGGUUCCUGUCUACUUUGACUUGAGGAAGGCUAGCUUGCAUAGUUAUUGAAGUGAGUGUGAUACCUCGGAAAGUUAUUUCUGUACUGGGACCUUCUGUCUUAUUUGGUGCUACCGGGACUCCUAAUUCUUUAAAUAGGGAGAGUGCAUUUUCCAGACUGUGUGGUGUGUAGUGGUGAGGUUCAACGUAAAGAAAAUCAUUGAGGUAGUGGAUUAUUACGGGGCACCUGGAUUUGUUGAGCAGUAGCCAAUUCAAGGUUUCUGCGAAUAUGUCGAAAAUUUUGGGGCUGCUUUUGGAGCCGAAGGUCAGCCUAGUCACAAAAUAGUAUUUCUCUUCCCACUUAACGCCAUGUAGAUGCCAGAGUGAUUGCUUAAUUGGUAGAAGUUUGAAAGCAUUUGAGAUAUCCAUUUUACUUAACCAGGCUGCCUUACCAAAACUGACAACUGUUUGUAUGGCAUCGUCUAUUUUUGCAUAUUGUAUUGAGAAGUCUUCUGAAGGUAUAAGGGAAUUCAAACUUGGGGAGGUGGAAGAGUGAGGUGCUGAGAAAUCGAUUAUUAGCCUCUUUUUGUUAUUACAUUUGCCUGUGGCUAUACCUAGAGGGUUUGUUCUCCAGGAAGUUAAUAAUGGUAUGGUGAAGGGUCCUAUCAUGAAACCGUAUUCUACUUCUUUGUUGAGCAGAUCUUUUAGACUGGCUGGAUCUGUUAUCGCAGACUGUAGGUUAGGGCAUUCUAGUAUGCUGUAUGAAAGCCUCUAGUGAAACCAGAGAUGAGAAAGUCAACCAGUUGUGAAGAAGGAUGUUCAGUCAAGUAAUGUUGUAAAUUAGGUAUGUUUAUUGGGGUCAUUGCUUUCUUAGGGAACAGUUUGUUUGGACACAUAGAUUUUGCGUGUGCUCUAAAACAGAUUGAGCAAAUGUGGAGCAGUCUACAAGCUCUAUAACUACACCCCCCCCCCCACAUUGAAGUUAUUGCAAACUUGUGCUUUGCCAAGAAACACUAUAGGCCUCCCUAACUUGUCUUGCACUUCCCUCUGAGUUGUGUUAUUAAGAUAGUCUGGAUUGGUGUUACUGGUAGAAGGACCAUCUAUAUUACUGGGACAAAAAUUUGCAGAAUCAGAGGCUGAAGAACAUAUUGCACAUGCUGGUGUUUUAAGCCCUGCGAAAUGUCUACAGAAUAAUUCUGUGUCCAAUUGACUCUAGUCAGUAGGAGUGUUGUACUGAGCCAGUGACGCGGCUGAUCUGGCCGAAAAUAUCAUCAUACUCCGUAGUUCUGCCAAACUGUUUUGUAUUGUACACUCAGAACUAGGGCCCGGUGUUUCCUCAGCGUUUUGGGUGUUUAGUAAACACAAAAGUUCAGCUUUCCUGGCUGUAGCUGGAAAGGGAAUGUUUCUUCUAUUCAGUUCUGCUGUGAUUUUUGGAACAGUCCAGGAUCUGUAGCUGGAUGUCGUACUGGAUUGUCUUGGCUGAGCGCUAGACCUGGAUGGGGUGCUGGCAAGUGAUAGCUCGUCGUCUCGUACUGAAGAGUUAGACAUACUAUGGCGUGAGAGGAAACGUUAAGGUUAGGGAAUUUUUUUUUUUUUUUAUGUGUGCUGGCUGUCUAGCUAGUGCCACUCUAUGGCGAAGCAAUUACACUAGUUUGGUGACUGGUGAGGCCCUGCUAGUUGCCAAGCAGCUUGAGAGGCUCUACCUAUGAUUUGGCACGAGGGGAUUUCGUGGCCGCCGAAUGUUGUGGCGGGGUGUUUGCCUCUUGGUGAGUAGUAAGCAUAAGAUAGAAUGGGGGUGACAGGUGAAGCCCUCUCUAUACCACAUGCGAGGCGGCUAAUUCUGAUUUGACCCGAGGGACGUAGUACCUCUGAAUUGAGGAUGGGUGUUGGCCUCGCAGGACCUCUAACCUAAGGCGAAGAAGCCAGGAGGAGACUACCGGUAUUGGGCUCCUAAUACCCUGACAGCCAGCUACGUCUAAACUGUAAGAGACGAUAAAAUGCGAGACUGAACGUAUUGCUUGAAAUGCUAGUUAUCCUUACUUGUACGUGAACUUGUUAUGAGUACUUGAAAUGACUUAAGGCGCUAUUUGUCUGUAUUAACCGGGCGGCUUUACUCAGGCUGAUGCACCCAAUUUGCGGAGAAUGGACACAGGAGGAGGGGGAGAGACAGAGAAGAGAAACAACAAAAAUAGAUAGUGGUUUGAUUAGUUUUUUUUUUUUAAUUUAUGUAUAAAGUUUGUGACUAAUUGUGCCUAUUAAUACGAUUUGGUAACUUGGCUUUAGUUCUGAAUACUUAUAACCUGCUGUUUAACUAUGUUUAUUAGUUUAGAGGAGUGAAGAAAGAAAGGAAGAAGGGGAGAAAAUCUUAAAUGAAAGGGAUUAUUACUAACCGAACCGUACUUGUGUAACUCAGCGUAAUAUGAAAGCAAAGUAUUCCACCAGUUUUUAUCCCUAGAAAUGAAAGGAGAAUAAUUUCACCAGGUAAACCCCAUGCCUUAAUAUGUUCGCAACCACUUGAGAGCAGAUAUACAGGUUAAAAAUGCAGAGAGAAAAAAAAAACAUGUUUGAGCCACACUUCAUAUUAAUACUGCAUAAAUUAUUAGAUUUGCCCUUUAAGAAAAUAUAUAGUCUUUACCAAUACAUUUAAACAAUUGAAAUGGUUUGUUAAAAGAAACAAAGAAUCUAAAUGUUUUUAUGUGAUCUUCAUGUUCUAUAACUCAAUAUUUCCUUAGCUUGUAAAACAGGCGUACCAUGGCUAUAUCAGAAUUUCACAUGUAUUGUAAAUGAAUGCAAUGUGCUUGUAACUUGAGGAGUGGUAUAUGUCAACUGUAGUUAUUUAAUAUGAAAAAGAUUUAGUCAAAGAUAGUACAGUUUAUUUAAACGAAUGACCCAUACGAAUAGAGCUGGUAUUAGAAUUAGAUUGCCGAAAUGGAUUUAACCGAACGUUUCCCGCCUAUUGAAGUUGAUUUUUUACAAACGUUAUCUUAGCCGGAUGGUAAUUGCACGAAAGGAGGUUUAGACGAAUGAGCCUAUGUUCGUAUUGAGGACUUACAGUUGAGUAGAAACUGUCAACUGGGUACCAUUCGUGUACAAUACUCACAAAUCUUCGCGUGGAAGUUCCUGACCGUCGUUUAGGCGCGUUGCGGCAAAAUGACGUCAGAGGUCUGCGUGAACCGGAAGCGAAGGCAAAUUACCGGAAUCGACGAAGACAGGUAAGCAAGGGGUUUACUGGGUUAUAUAGGCCUUAAAUCCCUCAUACGCCUUCUAUAUAUGAACCUUUCACAUGGAAUAAAAAAAUUUAUUGGAAAAAAAAUAUUUCUUGUUUUCAUUCUCUUCUUUAGCACCCACAUUAUUGCAUAAAUUGGACUUGCUCCUGCACCCAUACUGCUCAGACAGGACUUGCACCUGCACACUUCACCAUUAUUAUUUCUGAAUAGGAAAAUUGUAUUUUAAACAGAAUUGAAAAAUACACUGUUCAUAUCCUGUAAACACAUAAAAAGGACAUAGGGCUUUAUAUUUGCUCCUCAUGCAUAACCUGCCUGCUGUUCGGGGACAGAGAGGCACCGCCACACCGGCAAGCUGUUUGGGGACAUAGAUAGCACUGGCAAAGUCUCUCAGUCUCAUUUGCAUUCCCCACAUCAAUUAUCGUAGUGUGGUCUUCAUGGGGGGAACAUAGUAAUCUGAAUAAAUGACUUGAAGUGUUUAAAAAUGGAUGAUGAUGAUGAUGAUGAUGAUGGACAUUUUCAAAACCUAAAUCUCAUCUCCACUGUUUUGUUUUUUAAUAAUGCUCAUCAUCCAUUUUUUAACUCUCCAAUUCAUUCAGUCACACUAGCAUUAUUCACCCCAGCCAUUUCAGUCCACCCUCACUUCAACAGUUGAUGUGGGUGGGGGACAAUGUUAAUGUGACUGAAUGACUUGGAGAGUUAAAAAUGGAUGUCAUUAUUAUAAAAACCUGUCAUUGAACCUGUCAGUUUUAGCCUGUCAUUAUUCAUUAACCCAGAUAUUUCUGGUUUGGAACUGUUCACACCAAUAAAGAAAAUGGCUACUAUUCCAUUAUCCCAACAAAGUAAAUGGCUGCUGCACAAGCUGCAAUAGACUGCCAUGACAAUGUAAAAUUCAUUAUAUGCAGUCUACCAUGACAAUAUAAAACUCAUCUCUUCAUGGAUGAAUUAAUAAUAUGAAGAGAUGCGUUUUAUAUUGUCAUAGCAGGCUGCAUGUUAUGAAUUUUACAUUGUCAUGUCAUAGCAUUCUAAUGCAACUUUGCAACAUACAUUGUGCACAGUAGCCAUUUUCUUUAUUGACGUGAACAGUUUCAAAUCAGAAAUACCUGGGUUAUGAAAUAAUUAAUAAUAAAAGCCCCUGGACUUUUUGCCUCCAAGCAACACCCCAGUAAGAGCUAGAAAUCUUUAAAGUAAACAACUACACUGUAAAAAUUAAACAUCUUUUUCAUUGAGACUAUGUGUGUCACGGCAAGGAUGUGGCAAGAGCAGCAAAAGACAAAGUGUUUUAACUCCUAAACUGCAGGGGCAUGAUUUACACACCAAAACAUCUUCAGUGAACUUAAAGGACAAUGAAAUGGUCUGGGUGCCAGGUCCCCCUGGUUUUAAAACUGCAGCUGAAAACAUAGCAGUUUUCACAAACUGCUAUGUUUAAACUGCAGGGUUAAUCCAGCCUCUAGUGGCUGUCUCCCUGACAGCCACUAGAGGCAGCUUCUGCUAUUUACAGUAAAUCGUAUUUAUUUGACACUGGAUGACCUCACGGAGUCCAGCAUCAAAUAAGAUCCACAUAGAAAAUCAUUCGGCUACACUCGGAAUCUGAUGUCGGCAGGGGAGAAGAGGUCACCAGCACCGAGGGAGCUUGGCGCUGGAUUAAGUUAAGUGACUGAAGGGGUUUUAGCCCCUUCAGUUCCAAGAGAGGGGGCUCCAAGGGAGGGGUGUCCAAGAGCCUAUAGUGCCAGGUAAAUGGGUUUGUUUUAAACGUGUGCCCUGACCUCCCUAUGACCUGUAUAAAAGUUGGGGAAUCCAUAACCAACACAAACUAAAACUAAAAUGACUUGUUUCAUGUUGUUAUACGCACAAUAGGUAGUCCUGGGUACAUACAUAUUAUUUACUCAAAAGUUUCAAUUAAAGUUCACGUUACUUACAGUAGUAAUGCCGCUGUCUGAAGUGUCUGCUCCGCUUGCUCAGUCCCUUAGCAAACUGCAAUCUCAGGUUGGUAAGGUUUCACACCUUAUGUGUGGCUGCACUGUAAACUGUCUACAGUCUCCGGUAAAUAAGGCUCCUCUCUGCCUGCUUUCUCUGCUCCACCUUACUUGCUCAGCUCCCCCUUACUUGCUCUGCUCUCUGCUCUGUCUUACUUGCUCAGCCCCCCCCUUACAUGCUCACUCCCCUUAUUUGCUCAGCCCCCCCUUACUUGCUCACCCCAUCAUUAUUUGCUCAGCCCCCUUUACUUGCUCAUCCCCCCUUAUUUGCUCAACCUCCCCUUACUUGCUCUGCUCUCUGCCUUACUUGCUCAGCCCCCCUUAUAUGCUCUCCCCCCUUACUUGCUCAGCCCUCCCUUAGUUACUCAGCCCCCCUCAUACACUCAGUUGCUCACCACCUCUUAUUUGCUCAGCCCUCCCUUACUUGCUCACCCCCUUAUAUACUCAGUUGCUCACCCUACCUUACUUGCUCAGCCCCCCCUAUAAGUUCAGGUCCCCCCUUACUUGCUAUGCUCUUUUCUACUCUUGCUCUUCUCCUCAGUGCUCUUGCUUUGCUCUUCAGUGAUCACUCUGCUACACUUUGCUUGCUCUGACUGUCAGUGCAGUGUCUUCUUCUCAAUCUUGCUUUGCUCUCUGCUCUCUGCUGCUUACGCUCUGCUGCAGCUUCUUAGGUGUGGCCCCACGCCGCGCACCGCAAUCCCGCUCCGCUCCCUCCCUCGCUCACUCUCCGUCUCUAUGGUCUCCUGAGGUCUGCACCACACGGUGGUUCCUGUGAGCGAACAGCUGAGCUGCUGGAAUUCCGGAAACUAAAAUAAUCAGGGAAGUUCUGACAAAGAGGUGAGACUCCCACCUCGCAGCUCGCUCGCAGCUUACAGAAGUUCCCUGAUUAUAAAAACAGCAGCGCUGGCUAGCUCAGCCUGGCCAUUCCAUAUAACUUUGAUUUAAAUUGGGGGGCACAGCCUGACCUAGGGGGGGCCAUGGCCCCCUCUGGCACACCCCCCAGAGAUGCCACUGAAUGUCUGACAUGAAUUGUAUUAUAUCCUCAAGGGUUUCAGGAAUAUCCUUAGCAGCCACUUCCUCUUGUAAGGGCCACGGAGAAAGCAGAGGUCAGGGCACUAUUAUUCUAGGUUACUUCAUAAGCUAGAGUACAAAAUUUGGUGGCGUAUUCUCCCACUGAUCUGGAAGCCUGUUUUAUUUUGAAUAAAGCCCUUGUGGCAAUUCUCUUUCUACCUGGAGGAUUAAAUACUUUCUUGAAAGCCCUAAGAAACUCUUCGUAAUUGGUCAUGGUCAUCAUUGUUUUCCAACAGGGGGUUCAUCCAUGCGAUUGCCAUUUAAUAGGUCCAUAAUUAAUGUUAUUUUUGACCUAACAUUAGGGAAUGAAUUGGGAGCCAUCUCAAAAUGUACUACCACUUGAUUAAAAAAACUCUAUAUAAAGAGGGAUCCCCAGAAUAAUGAGGAGGUGAGGUUAAACAGACAGAAGUAGCUAUGUGAGACAUGGAUGGUAAAGAUACUGCACCCUGCAUGCCACUCUCACUCGCUUCCUGCUGGAGACAAGCUGUUCCUGUUAGGAUAGUUUGCACAGCUUGUGCAAACUGAGCCAUUCUAUAGAACCACCAGAGAAAUUACCACCAGAAUACGUGAACACACGCACAACAUCACUAGAAGAUAUUUAAAACACUUAGUAUCGGCACAUUUUGCAGAAAUGCAUGGCUCUGAUGCCAGUCUCCUAGAAUUUGAAGCCAUCUGCCAUGUGACAGAUGGUAAAAGAGAAAUGGAGUGGAUCUUCCUAUUAAACAUGCUACAACUGUAAGGUCUAAAUGUAGAAUUUGAACUUUGUCAUUUUUUGGACCAUUAAGUACGCUGUAGUGAAAAACGAGAUCUGUCUAUAAUCUUGAAUGGAUUUUUUUUUUUUAACUUUUUUCUUUCUCUCUCCUUUCUCCCACCCUAUUCUACACUACAAAAACAAUUAUUUGCACAUACUAGUGUUGAUAGUUAUGACAUGAAUAUAUGAUAUACUACUGGAAUAUAAUUUUUGAAUUAAAGUAUAAAAACAAAGGAAAAGGGAAGGGGAGAGGUGAAGGGACAAGGGGAAAGUAAAAGAAGCAAGAAAAUGAAUCAGAACCAAAUUUGACAGAGAUAAAUUGAAUAAUAACCAACAAAAACAAAAGUAUGAAAUUUGAUCAAAAGGAGUAGGAAAACCAAACAUGUAUCCUUUUAAUUCCCAUAGACACUUGUAGGAGAGAAGAAAUAAGGAAAAAUAAAAUAAAAUAUAUCAGAUGGCUGACACAGGAAUAGAGCUACUUCUGGGCGCAUGGUAUGUAAAGCCUUUUUUUUUUUCUUUUCUGACAAAAUCAAAUUCACACUGACUAGAGAAGGUAAUUGAUUUAAAACAGUGAAAAGGUGAACUGCAUAACACAAGCAUAUUAGUAAUUAAAUUCCAACCAAUUAAAACUAAACUGAGCAACAUGUGAUUAGCAGUAACAUUUAUAAAGACACUUGCAUUCUGUUACUGUAUAUCAUUGACAAAGCCUAGUGAAGGCGAAACGCGUUUGAAACAAGGUUGCUACUGGAAAAGACAUUCUCACUACCAUGCUUUACUCACCAAAAGUAGCAGACAACAAUGCUACUAGCUUCCAUCCUCAGCAUAUCAAGGACUCACUACCUAUCUCACAAUUCCUUCGGGUUAUGAAAUAUAACAGUAAUCCAGCUAAUUGUGAUCAGCAGCUCCAGGAAGUUUGGGAUCGCUUCCUGGCAAGGGGCUUUCAUCCGCGAAUUCUGGAAAAAGCUAAGAUGAAUGCUUGGAAGAAAUAUAAUCAAAGCAACAAUAUAAGCCCUACUAAGAAGAAUAAUAUCUUCCUUCCCAUCACAUUCAAUACUGCAACUCCUUUUCUUAAAAAAUGUAUCCAUAAACAUUGGAAUAUGUUCCAGGUAGACCAAAAUCUUUCUGAUAAAUUUAAAAUCAAUCCCAUUAUCAGCUAUAGAAGGAAUCGGAACCUGAGAGACUUAUUGGUAAAGAACGAUCCUCGAUUAUGCUAUGCCAGGAUACCUAAAAUCCAAAAAAAAGGGCUGCUACAAAUGUAGCGGCUGUGUUACGUGCAGCCAUAUGCUUACUGGAACCACUUUUGUCCAUCCACAUAGUGGGAAGCGCAUCCCUAUCAAUCAUUAUAUUUCAUGUAUGACCACACAUGUGGUAUACAUGAUUACUUGUCCAUGCGGCCUGGCCUAUGUUGGGAAGACCGACAUGACCUUAAGAGAUCGGAUUAGGGGACGUCGCUCGGGAAUCACUACAGCCUUCAGAGACCAAAAAACAGAUAAACCGGUGGCUAAGCAUUUUUUAUCAGCACAACAUCAUCUGCCUACUCUCAGGUUCAUAGCUAUUGACCAUGUUCCGGCACCACCAAGAGGAGGUGAUAGAUCCAAGCUACUACUCCAACGUGAAGCCUACUGGAUUCAUCACUUAAAUACCGUGACCCCGAAAGGACUUAAUGAACAUCUAGUUCUUUCGAUGUUUCUUUAAUAUAUAUUCUACAUUGAUUCUCUUCUAAGUGUCCACAUAGAAUUUAGGAUAACAGCAUAAUAUGAAUUUUUUUCAUUAGAAUCUAUAUCAAGUAGAUAUAGUAGUGAUACUGUUGUAACAACAUUUUUUUAUUUUUUUGUAUAUAUAUUUUUUUGUAUUUUUUUGCAUUUUUUGGAUCAAAGAUUGACCAUUGAGAGUAAGCUUAGGUAGUAUGUGGUCAUUGCUGUAUGUUAUGAUAAAUACAGAGAUAGGUGUGGAGUAUACAGGGAGUGCAGAAUUAUUAGGCAAGUUGUAUUUUUGAGGAUUAAUUUUAUUAUUGAACAACAACCAUGUUCUCAAUGAACCCAAAAAACUCAUUAAUAUCAAAGCUGAAUAUAUUUGGAAGUAGUUUUUAGUUUGUUUUUAGUUAUAGCUAUGUUAGGGGGAUAUCUGUGUGUGCAGGUGACUAUUACUGUGCAUAAUUAUUAGGCAACUUAACAAAAAACAAAUAUAUACCCAUUUCAAUUAUUUAUUAUUACCAGUGAAACCAAUAUAACAUCUCAACAUUCACAAAUAUACAUUUCUGACAUUCAAAAACAAAACAAAAACAAAUCAGUGACCAAUAUAGCCACCUUUCUUUGCAAGGACACUCAAAAGCCUGCCAUCCAUGGAUUCUGUCAGUGUUUUGAUCUGUUCACCAUCAACAUUGCGUGCAGCAGCAACCACAGCCUCCCAGACACUGUUCAGAGAGGUGUACUGUUUUCCUCCUUGUAAAUCUCACAUUUGAUGAUGGACCACAGGUUCUCAAUGGGGUUCAGAUCAGGUGAACAAGGAGGCCAUGUCAUUAGAUUUUCUUCUUUUAUACCCUUUCUUGCCAGCCACGCUGUGGAGUACUUUGACGCGUGUGAUGGAGCAUUGUCCUGCAUGAAAAUCAUGUUUUUCUUGAAGGAUGCAGACUUCUUCCUGUACCACUGCUUGAAGAAGGUGUCUUCCAGGAACUGGCAGUAGGACUGGGAGUUGAGCUUGACUCCAUCCUCAACCCUAAAAGGCCCCACAAGCUCAUCUUUGAUGAUACCAGCCCAAACCAGUACUCCACCUCCACCUUGCUGGCGCCUGAGUCGGACUGGAGCUCUCUGCCCUUUACCAAUCCAGCCACGGGCCCAUCCAUCUGGCCCAUCAAGACUCACUCUCAUUUCAUCAGUCCAUAAAACCUUAGAAAAAUCAGUCUUGAGAUAUUUCUUGGCCCAGUCUUGACGUUUCAGCUUGUGUGUCUUGUUCAGUGGUGGUCGUCUUUCAGCCUUUCUUACCUUGGCCAUGUCUCUGAGUAUUGCACACCUUGUGCUUUUGGGCACUCCAGUGAUGUUGCAGCUCUGAAAUAUGGCCAAACUGGUGGCAAGUGGCAUCGUGGCAGCUGCACGCUUGACUUUUCUCAGUUCAUGGGCAGUUAUUUUGCGCCUUGGUUUUUCCACACGCUUCUUGCGACCCUGUUGACUAUUUUGAAUGAAACACUUGAUUGUUCGAUGAUCACGCUUCAGAAGCUUUGCAAUUUUAAGAGUGCUGCAUCCCUCUGCAAGAUAUCUCACUAUUUUUGACUUUUCUGAGCCUGUCAAGUCCUUCUUUUGACCCAUUUUGCCAAAGGAAAGGAAGUUGCCUAAUAAUUAUGCACACCUGAUAUAGGGUGUUGAUGUCAUUAGACCACACCCCUUCUCAUUACAGAGAUGCACAUCACCUAAUAUGCUUAAUUGGUAGUAGGCUUUCGAGCCUAUACAGCUUGGAGUAAGACAACAUGCAUAAAGAGGAUGAUGUGGUCAAAAUACUCAUUUGCCUAAUAAUUCUGCACUCCCUGUAGCUGUUAAGUAUACAUUUAGGACAUAGUGUCCUUCUUCUACACUCAGUUAGAGUGAUUAGUAUGGUUAAUGCUUUUUCUUGGAUUUAAGAAGAUUAGAAUACACGUACAUAAACAAUAGAUAUAUUAUUUAUUUAUUAUUCGCUAAAUAACAGCAUAUUAAAAAGAAUUGUGGAUGCAUUUUUUUGGAUAUAUAGUAUAUGUGUAUAAUGGAUUUUAUUACUUCCCCAACAGGGAUUGAUCUGUCCUGCAGUUUUUAUGCAUUGUUUUUUCACAGACUUUCACAUUUAUAUAUUUUUUUGCACUAUGCACUUCUUUUCCACUGAUAGAUCAUCCGUAGAUUGGGGUCUUUAGUUGAUUAUUUUCCUCCAUAUGUAGUGCUUGUUUUUAUAUCUCCGAUCUCUGUUUAGAGAAGGGAGUUCUGACACUGUUAGACUGGUUGCAUAGCAACCUCGUCACAUGCACUUUUGUCACAUGACAACCCCCACGUGGUUUGAGCACUUCCGGGUAUCACGGCGGUGCCGGUCACCCGAUCUCUUGUUUGCAGUAUAGCCACUAUCUGUUAGGUUGCUUAGCAACCUAGUCACAUGCUAUGCACCGUUCACGUGGUCUCCUCACUUCCGGGUCCUGUAGCUGAUCGGGGUCCCGAUUAUCUGAUUGGUAAGCGUUAUUUCAUCUGUAUGUAUAUAUUGUUCACUAUAACUACACUUCACUGUGAUCUUGAUAAAGACCCCAGCAGGGUCGAAACAUUGAUUUUCUUUGCACAGAAUUUGUACCAUGUUUUUGAUACAGUAAAUACAUUUUUUUCACUAUACUGAAGUCCUGGUGUGCUCCCCUUAUUGAGAUAUAUAUAUAUAUAUAUAUAUAUAUAUAUAUAUAUAUAUAUAUAUAUAUGUGUAUAUAUAUAUAUAUGUAUAUAUUGCAGUUUUUUGGCAGUUUAUUUUUUACCAUUUUAAAUGUUUUUUUUUUUUAUUAAAUGACAUUAACAGAAAUGGCAAACAUUGCUAUAAAGAAUAGCCUUUUAUAUAUACAUGGAUCAAUAAAUUAUUUUUUAUUGGUUGGUUGUUAGCUUUGUACAAAAAGUUCUAUAUUUUUUGUAGUUGGUUGUGGUACACAGUUCAGUUGUUCACAUUUAUUGAAAGAAGGUAUCCCUAUUUUAAGGAAUUCGCAGUCCCGUUUUUUUCUGUAUAUUUUUCCACAUAUUUAGGUCAGAUGUAUUUUCCUAAUAGGACUAGCUGCCUCCCUCAUAGUUCAAUCCCUUUCCUUCUCCCCUGUUUUUUUUUACUUCACUUUUUCUUUUGCCCUCCAUGACGUAAUGGCAAGGUCAACCACUCUAACACGCAAACUAAUGAGCUCUUUAUCAAUACACAAAUAAAGGCGUAUUACCAGGCCUUAGAGUGGCCGGACUUAAGAUAUAUAUGAGUACGGCGAGAAGAAUAGAAUAGUCAGAAAAACCAAGGUCAGGAUUGGAGACGGAAGGAUACAUAAAACAAAGCCAAGGGACAAGGAUACCAGAAAAGUGGAUAAACAAGAAACAAAGCCAAAAUCAAUGAUGAUCUUUAUGCUCUUUGAUUUUAAACAUGUUAACAUGCUAGACUAACAAGCUAAGUUUUGUUCAAUGUAUAGAGGUUGUUGGUUGUUUACAGGUUUGGACGUUCCUCCUCCUACCAACCCCAAGUGCUAAUCUGCCUAGUAAUAGCAGUAAAAGUCCAAACUAAUCACCCUCCUUUUUACUACCUUCUCUAUACAUUAAGACGAGGUAUAACUAUCUGAUUGGAUAAAGAAUUUUAAAGAAGCACACCCUGUUAAAAAACACCAUAUAUUUGGGAUAUGCAAUAAAAAUGUUUAGAGGUGUCACUUUGAACAAUUUGUGUCUGUGUCAGUUCAUGGUGGCUUCCCCAGCACUGGAAAGAGAUUGCAGGUCAAACCAGAGAUUGCUAAAUUACACAGAAAGACAUGUCAAAGAAGUGGUCAGUUAUUUAAAGAGAUCUUCAUUUUGUUCUAACAGUCAGAUACCAGAAAAGUCAAGGCUAAAGAAACGCACUAUCGGGCUAAAAGACUACAACAGGGAAAAUAAGUGAUGUCAAAGGGAGGUAUAAAAUGUAUGAGCUGAAAGGCUAGGGAACCAAUUAGGGUAAUAUGUAAGCAGUUAUAAAUGGAAUGCUUAGCCCAGAAGUGAAAUUAGUAACUUUCCCUUUAAGGUGCCAAAGAUAAAAAAAAAAAAAGGUGCAUGCCCCCUGACUGUUCGUUGUGUGUGAACGUUGGGACACCAUGGGAGAGGAGAUCUGUCAUCUGCAUGGAUGGCAGGACCGAGGAG